rnacentral:rRNA from 1 species
UACGGGGGGGGCAAGCGUUGUUCGGAAUUACUGGGCGUAAAGGGCUCGUAGGCGGCCAACUAAGUCGGACGUGAAAUCCCUCGGCUCACCCGAGGACCUGCAUCCCAAACUGCCUGGCUUGAGUAUGGGAGAGGAUGAGGGAAUUCCUGGUGUAGCGGUGAAAUGCGUAGAUAUCAGGAGGAACACCAAUAGCGAAGGCAGCUCGCUGGGACGGUAUUGACGCUAAGGCGCGAAAGCGUGGGGAGCAAACAGG